GAUGAACGCUGGCGGCGUGCCUAAUACAUGCAAGUCGAGCGAACCACUUCGGUGGUGAGCGGCGAACGGGUGAGUAACACGUAGGUGAUCUGCCCAUCAGACGGGGACAACGAUUGGAAACGAUCGCUAAUACCGGAUAGGACGAAAGUUUAAAGGUGCUUCUGGCACCGCUGAUGGAUGAGCCUGCGGCGCAUUAGCUAGUUGGUAGGGUAAAGGCCUACCAAGGCGACGAUGCGUAGCCGACCUGAGAGGGUGAACGGCCACACUGGGACUGAGACACGGCCCAGACUCCUACGGGAGGCAGCAGUAGGGAAUCUUCGGCAAUGGGCGAAAGCCUGACCGAGCAACGCCGCGUGAAUGAUGAAGGCCUUCGGGUUGUAAAAUUCUGUUAUAAGGGAAGAACGACUUUAGUAGGAAAUGGCUAGAGUGUGACGGUACCUUAUGAGAAAGCCACGGCUAACUACGUGCCAGCAGCCGCAGUAA
rnacentral:rRNA from 1 species